rnacentral:misc_RNA from 1 species
GAAGGUUGAGUACUUUUACUGCAAUGAUUACUCCAUCCUCUUCAAGGGUGCCUUUGUAGACAGAUCCAAAAUUUCCUGCACCAAGCAAAUUUGCAGUAGAAAACCCAUCAGUUGCCUUGAGAAUCCUUUGAUAAGAAAGUUCUCGAAAUGAUUUUAGUUCCAAUGAACCAGAAGAUUGCUUUCUUUUCUGCUUUUUGAACCAACAAUACAAGGAGGCUGACAAAAUGAGGACACCAGAAAUACAGGAAACUGUGAUCGCAGCUAUUUUAACCUGACGUAAUUUUCUUCUUUUUGAUGCGACAGUGAUACAUCUCGGCAGCCGUAGUUCUG